CACGUAGGGUGCGAGCGUUGUCCGGAAUUAUUGGGCGUAAAGAGCUCGUAGGCGGUGUGUCGCGUCGACCGUGAAAACCUGCAGCUUAACUGUGGGCUUGCGGUCGAUACGGGCAUCACUGGAGUUCGGCAGGGGAGACUGGAAUUCCUGGUGUAGCGGUGAAAUGCGCAGAUAUCAGGAAGAACACCCGUGGCGAAGGCGGCUCUCUGGGACGGUACUGACGCUGAGACGCGAAAGCCGUGGGGAG
rnacentral:rRNA from 1 species